rnacentral:misc_RNA from 1 species
AUAAGGUACAGGUGAGUCAUCGAAUCUUUGAACGCACAUUGCGCCCGCUAGUACUCUAGCGGGCAUGCCUGUUCGAGCGUCAUUUCAACCCUCAAGCUCAGCUUGGUGUUGGGGCCCUACGGCUGCCGUAGGCCCUGAAAGGAAGUGGCGGGCUCGCUGCAACUCCGAGCGUAGUAGAAUCCUAUCUCGCUAGGGAGGCGCCGCGCGCUCCUGCCGUUAAAGACCCCAUCUUUAACCAAAGGUUGACCUCGGAUCAGGUAGGAAUACCCGCUGAACUUAAGCAUAUCAAUAAGCGGAGGA